GAACUGCGAAACGUGAUGUGACCUGCACUCUUCGUGAAUCAUCCAAUCUUUGAACGCAUUUUGCACCUGGUGACUGUUGUGGUCACCAGGUAUACUUGUUUGAGUAUCGUCCAAUCUCUCCAACCCUCUUCGGGGGUGUUUGGCACAUGAGAGGUUCGACCAUUUAUGUAGUGAAUGUGAAUUGUGUGUGUGGUGGUUGAAAUAUACCUCUUCCACAAGACAUGCUAUGCAUGACAACAUAAUAUCACUCUUCUCUACAGGUCGUCUCUUGAAAGAUAGGCCGCAUGGUGGGUCUUGAGCACACGUGUCUGUGUGUGGUAGUUGUUAUCUACCAUGUAGAUAAUCAUCCACACAUCAGAUGGGUGGCUAUUGGGAUAACAUCCUAACAAUAGCUAUAGUUCUUGACCGACCGGUCAUCCGAUUGUAACAUCAUGAGUGAUCAUCAAGAUUACUGGUGGUGAAUCUCAAUCAACGAAGCAACAAGCAAUUGUUGGUUCAUAUUAAAGGAUCUCAAAUCAAGUAAGGAUACCCGCUGAACUUAAGC
rnacentral:misc_RNA from 1 species